rnacentral:rRNA from 1 species
CCUACGGGAGGCAGCAGUGGGGAAUAUUGCACAAUGGGGGAAACCCUGAUGCAGCGACGCCGCGUGAAGGAAGAAGUAUUUCGGUAUGUAAACUUCUAUCAGCAGGGAAGAAAAUGAUGGUACCUGACUAAGAAGCCCCGGCUAACUACGUGCCAGCAGCCGCGGUAAUACGUAGGGGGCAAGCGUUAUCCGGAUUUACUGGGUGUAAAGGGAGCGUAGGCGGCUUAGCAAGUCAGAAGUGAAAGCCCGGGGCUCAACUCCGGGACUGCUUUUGAAACUGGUUUUCUUGAGUGAAGUAGAGGUUGGCGGAAUUCCGAGUGUAGCGGUGAAAUGCGUAGAUAUUCGGAGGAACACCGGUGGCGAAGGCGGCCAACUGGGCUUUAACUGACGCUGAGGCUCGAAAGUGUGGGGAGCAAACAGGAUUAGAUACCCCUGUAGUC